rnacentral:lncRNA from 1 species
GUGGGUCGAGUAGCCUACUUAAGUUGCCAUCAAUGCCUUGCAUCACCUACGAAAAUAUACGUGACAAGGACAACAUUCUGUUCAGGAACCAUCUCAAGGGUCGCGAAGGCCUUCUCUAUCUUUUGAUUGGUCUUUCUCUUUAGGGUUGAUAUCCAUACUCACAUUAUCCCUUCCCCCUUCAAAAACGAUUCGUCCUUAAAUCAAACACUUCUUAUGCAAGGAUUUCAC